rnacentral:rRNA from 1 species
CAGUAGCCACGGUAACACGGAGGGGGCUAGCGUUGUUCGGAAUUACUGGGCGUAAAGCGCACGUAGGCGGCUUUGUAAGUUAGAGGUGAAAGCCUGGAGCUCAACUCCAGAAUUGCCUUUAAGACUGCAUCGCUUGAAUCCGGGAGAGGUGAGUGGAAUUCUUGGUGUAGCGGUGAAAUGCGUAGAUAUCAAGAGGAACACCGGUGGCGAAGGCGGCUUCCUGGACAAGUCCUGACUCUGAAACACGAAAGCCAGGGGAGCGAAUGGGAUUAGAUACCCCAGUAGUCCCUGUCUCUUAUAA